ensembl:lncRNA
CCCCAUCUGAGCACCAAUCCUGUAUUUAUAAAAUUGUUUUUCAGUGGCAUCAUCUCUUCCAUUUUAGGUGAAAUGGAGACAGAAAGCCAGCCCAAGAGACUCUUCCAAGGCACCACCAACAUGCUUCCUCCAGAUGCUGCACAACUCUCUGAUCUCAGUUCAUGGUGGUGUUAUCAAGGAGAAGAAAUUCCUGCCUUGACCAGAUGUGUGGAGCAUCUACAAAUGAACGAAUAAUGUUAUUGACACACACACCACUGUGUACAAAAGUGAGCAUCCAUGAAGCUGUCAGUGUCUCGGAUGGUAUUAUGGGGGCUUAUGUGCUUUGGGGUACAUUGUUGUGCCAUAAGGGAUGUCUAUCAUAAGGUAGCGUGGAAAAGGAGGCUUUGUAUGUGUGAUUGCCACAAUACUAUUUGGUUGCUGCCUUUUUUCUGGUUACUUUUUGUCAUUGGGUUUGCUUGUUUUGUUGUGUGGUGAUUGGUGUUUUUGUUUAUUGUGCUGCUGCCAUAGUCAGAAUCCAGUUCUUGUUCUUGCUGCUUGUAGAGGGCAGUUUAAUAUCUACAAGAACCUUUUAGGAGCUGAAAAAGUUAAUGUUAUUGCACAUUCUACUUUUAAAAACUUUGAGUUAUAGUGUACAUGCUAGCAAGUGUGUGAUACCAUAUGUUCUUUCAUUUUCACAAGAGGAAACUCCUGACUGAGCUAUUUAAGUCAUCUGAGUAUAAUCUAUUGUUACGUUAUUUAUUAUUUAUUAUGCUGUAUAAAGUGUCUGUUGUGAUAGAUUUCUUUUAUUGUUCAGACAUCAUGGAUGGAUUGUCUGUUUAAUAUGCACAUAUGCUCACUAGGAUCAUAAUAUUCCAUUUUUAAAUGAAUGUAAGAAAUAGAAAACUACUGCACUUGGGUCUUUUGAAGGCAAAGAUCUUUGAAUUUUAAAGGAAGAUGAUGUGCUUUGAAGGCAUUCACGGACUAGUAAUUAUGUACAGCUUGAAGGGAAACCUCUCUUCCAGUUUUAGAGAACAUCACUUAGCUUGCAGUAGUUCUGUUACAGAGUCAGGAUGUUCUUUUCUUUAAAUUGUAAUCACCACCAUAAUAGCCAUGAGUGGCUUUAGUUCUCAUGUUGCUUUCACCUGUGUAAAGCCCAUAAUCCUUCAGACCUAACUCAAAAGUAUGUUAUGAAGCUUUUCCCUCAUGUGCCAUUUUAAAGAAUUUCUUUGAUGCUAUUCCGUGCGUCUAUUUGUAAAAGAAUCAUGUUCAGAUGGUUUUGCCCUGUAAUGAUGACAGAUGGUUUACUCUUUCAUGACAUUGGUCAACCUUUACUAUAUUCUUUGCCUUGAAGGGACACUUUUGAGUUCUAAUUUAGGACUGUUAAGAAAUAACCUCUGAAACGUGAUGAUAUUUAAAUUUGUUUUUGAAAUUUGGUGAUGUGGUAGAACUGGGACAGGAAACUGAAAUAGUUCCAAUGGCAUGAGUUCUGAGAGGCAAGGUGAUUAACUGUAUUGUCUAAACUAUGGUUUUCUUUCAUUUAAAUGGACUAGCCAGUUAAGUUCGUGCAGGGAUUGUUUUGAAAUAAAUAAAAAUAGAGAUAUACUAACCCA